rnacentral:rRNA from 1 species
UACGUAGGGUGCAAGCGUUAUCCGGAAUUAUUGGGCGUAAAGAGCUCGUAGGCGGUUUGUCGCGUCUGCCGUGAAAGUCCGGGGCUCAACUCCGGAUCUGCGGUGGGUACGGGCAGACUAGAGUGAUGUAGGGGAGACUGGAAUUCCUGGUGUAGCGGUGAAAUGCGCAGAUAUCAGGAGGAACACCGGUGGCGAAGGCGGGUCUCUGGGCAACAACUGACGCUGAGGAGCGAAAGCGUGGGGAGCGAACAGG